rnacentral:rRNA from 1 species
UGUGGGGGAUAACGUAGAGAAAUUUACGCUAAUACCGCAUACGAUCUAAGGAUGAAAGCGGGGGAUCGCAAGACCUCGCGCAAUUGGAGCGGCUGAUAUCAGAUUAGCUUGUUGGUGAGGUAAAAGCUCACCAAGGCGACGAUCUGUAGCUGGUUUGAGAGAACGACCAGCCACACUGGGACUGAGACACGGCCCAGACUCCUACGGGAGGCAGCAGUGGGGAAUUUUGGACAAUGGGCGAAAGCCUGAUCCAGCAAUGCCGCGUGCAGGAAGAAGGCCUUCGGGUUGUAAACUGCUUUUGUACGGAACGAAACGGUCCGCUUUAAUACAGUGGGCUAAUGACGGUACCGUAAGAAUAAGCACCGGCUAACUACGUGCCAGCAGCCGCGGUAAUAC